AGAGUUUGAUCCUGGCUCAGAACAAACGCUGGCGGCGUGUCUUAAGCAUGCAAGUUGAGCGGCAAGGAGGAGAGAUCCUCCCUAGAGCGGCGGACUGGUGAGUAACGCGUGGGUAAUCUAUCGUAGGCAUGGGGAUAGUCACUAGAAAUAGUGGGUAAUACCGAAUACGUUCCAUGAGGGGAGUAUUCAUGGAAGAAAGGGUGCUACGGCACUGGCCUUAGGUGAGCUCGCGUCCCAUUAGCUAGUUGGUGAGGUAAAGGCCCACCAAGGCGAUGAUGGGUAGCCGGCCUGAGAGGGUGUACGGCCACACUGGGACUGAGAUACGGCCCAGACUCCUACGGGAGGCAGCAGCUAAGAAUAUUCCGCAAUGGACGAAAGUCUGACGGAGCGACGCCGCGUGGAUGAAGAAGGCCGAAAGGUUGUAAAGUUCUUUUGCUAGGGGAGAAUAAGUGAGGGAGGGAAUGCCCUCAUGAUGACAAGGACUAGCGAAUAAGCCCCGGCCAACUACGUGCCAGCAGCCGCGGUAACACGUAGGGGGCGAGCGUUGUUCGGAAUUACUGGGCGUAAAGGGCAUGUAGGCGGCUUGGUAAGCCUGGCGUGAAAGACUGCAGCUUAACUGUAGGGAUGCGUUGGGAACUGCUUAGCUUGAGUUACGGAGAGGGAGCUGGAAUUCCUGGUGUAGGGGUGAAAUCUGUAGAUAUCAGGAAGAACACCGAUGGCGAAGGCAAGCUUCUGGUCGAUAACUGACGCUGAGGUGCGAAAGUGUGGGGAUCAAACAGGAUUAGAUACCCUGGUAGUCCACACUGUAAACGAUGUGCACGAGGUGCUGGGGCGGUAGUUUCAGUGCCGGAGCGAACGCGGUAAGUGCACCGCCUGGGGAGUAUGCUCGCAAGGGUGAAACUCAAAGGAAUUGACGGGGGCCCGCACAAGCGGUGGAGCAUGUGGUUUAAUUCGAUGGUACACGAGGAACCUUACCUGGGUUUGACAUACGGAGGGAAGUGGCAGCGAUGUCACUGCGUAGAGAUACGGCUCCGUACAGGUGCUGCAUGGCUGUCGUCAGCUCGUGCCGUGAGGUGUUGGGUUAAGUCCC
rnacentral:rRNA from 1 species